UUGAAGAUAUAUGCACGAUCCAUGUAAUUACUAACCAUAUAUCUACAAUCUCAUUACCUUGGUUAGAUCACUAGUUCCCUCACCAGACAUUACUGAUGCCGGAGCUGGAUCCACCGCCUCCUGGCACACCGCUGCUGGCCCCGGCUCCUCCCUACCAUCGAGGAGGAUGCUUGGAACUAUGCUUGUGGCUUCUGUGCUGCUGUGGUCUAUUUAGUUGCUGCUGCCCUCCACUCUUUGAGUCUGGGCCGCCCCCACCUUAGCUAUGCUGCUGCAUUUUCUAUUUAGCUCACUUUUGUAUGGGUUAAACAUUGUGUGAGUGAUGAGAGGUAGCUAGAAAUGAUCCAAUAUAAAUCUCUGAUCUCAGUAUUCCAGGUUUUUUUUUUUUUUGGCAACUCAGUAUUCCAGUUUGGUUAAUUGGUCUCUGAUGUUAACCCAUUUAUAGGCGUUUGUUCUUCAGCUCUACUUUUUUAUCUAUUUUGGUUGGUACUUUGUACAUUGAUUUAUAGUUCUUUCUCAAUUAUGUUGUCGUUAUAUUGUAAUGCCCAUGGAAUUGCAGACAGUUUCUGUGAUUUUCUUUCUUUUCUUC